GACGAACGCUGGCGGCGUGCUUAACACAUGCAAGUCGAACGGAAAGGCCCUGCUUUUGUGUGGUGCUCGAGUUGCGAACGGGUGAGUAACACGUGAGUAACCUGCCCUGGACUUUGGGAUAACUUCAGGAAACGGGGGCUAAUACCGGAUAGGAGCUCCUGCUGCAUGGUGGGGGUUGGAAAGUUUCGGCGGUUGGGGUUGGACUCGCGGCUUAUCAGCUUGUUGGUGGGGUAGUGGCUUACCAAGGCUUUGGCGGGUAGCCGGCCUGAGAGGGUGACCGGCCACAUUGGGCCUGAGAUACGGCCCAGACUCCUACGGGAGGCAGCAGUGGGGAAUAUUGCACAAUGGGCGGAGGCCUGAUGCAGCAACGCCGCGUGCGGGAUGACGGCCUUCGGGUUGUAAACCGCUUUCGCCUGUGACGAAGCGUGAGUGACGGUAAUGGGUAAAGAAGCACCGGCUAACUACGUG
rnacentral:rRNA from 1 species